rnacentral:rRNA from 1 species
AGUGAACGCUGGCGGUAGGCCUAACACAUGCAAGUCGAACGGCAGCACAGUAAGAGCUUGCUCUUACGGGUGGCGAGUGGCGGACGGGUGAGGAAUACAUCGGAAUCUACUUUUUCGUGGGGGAUAACGUAGGGAAACUUACGCUAAUACCGCAUACGACCUACGGGUGAAAGCAGGGGAUCUUCGGACCUUGCGCGAUUGAAUGAGCCGAUGUCGGAUUAGCUAGUUGGCGGGGUAAAGGCCCACCAAGGCGACGAUCCGUAGCUGGUCUGAGAGGAUGAUCAACCACACUGGAACUGAGACACGGUCCAGACUCCUACGGGAGGCAGCAGUGGGGAAUAUUGGACAAUGGGCGCAAGCCUGAUCCAGCCAUACCGCGUGGGUGAAGAAGGCCUUCGGGUUGUAAAGCCCUUUUGUUGGGAAAGAAAAGCAGCAGGUUAAGACCCCGCUGUUCUGACGGUACCCAAAGAAUAAGCACCGGCUAACUUCGU